AUGCAGAUGUCCAUGGUGGAAGGAACUGAGGCCUCCUGCCAACAGCCAUGACUCUUGUUCUUGGAGCCCAACUUUGCCAUGCUGUAAGGAAAGCCGGACCACACAGAGAGGCCACAUGAAGCAGAAUCCUCUUGCCCCUGGAGUCUAUGGGGCCAUCACAGGGCCAGGAGGUAACCUCAUCUCCAUCACCCAAGUAUCAUGCAUGGAGCUGGGGCAAAACUCUGUCAAAGAUCUCAAGCAAAUUACUCAGUCAAAUGUAUCCGAG
rnacentral:lncRNA from 13 species